rnacentral:rRNA from 1 species
UGCAUGGGGGCACCCCUGAUCCAGCCAUGCCGCGUGGUGUGAAGAAGGCUUUCGGGUUGUAAAGCACUUUCAGUGAGGAGGAACACUUGGCCACUAAUAUUGGCCAGGCUUGACGUUACUCACAGAAGAAGCACCGGCUAACUCCGUGCCAGCAGCCGCGGUAAUACGA